UACGGAGGAUGCAAGCGUUAUCCGGAUUUAUUGGGUUUAAAGGGUGCGCAGGCGGUCUGGUAAGUCAUGGGUGAAAUUUUACAGCUUAACUGUAAGCGUGCCUAUGAUACUGCUGGGCUAGAGUUUAAGAGACGUAAUUGGAAUGUGAUGUGUAGCGGUGAAAUGCUUAGAUAUGUCACAGAACGCCGAUCGUGAAGACAGAUUACGAACUUAAUACAGACGCUCAAGCACGAAAGCGUGGGGAUCAAACAGGAUUAGAUACCCUGGUAGUCCACGCUGUAAACGAUGAUCACUCGUUGUUGGAUGGCAACAUUCAGUGGCUAAGGGAAACCGAUAAGUGAUCCACCUGGGGAGUACGAUCGCAAGGUUGAAACUCAAAGGAAUUGACGGGGGCCCGCACAAGCGGAGGAGCAUGUGGUUUAAUUCGAUGAUACGCGAGGAACCUUACCCGGGCUUGAACGUAAGACGAAUAUAUAGGAAACUAUAUAGCCUACGGGCGUCUUGCGAGGUGCUGCAUGGUU
rnacentral:rRNA from 1 species